UCACAAAUAUGUCAAGAGACAGAGGAAUAGAGUCUGUUCUACACCAAGGAGGUAGUUGGCACUCAACCAAUAAGUGAUGUGGAACCAGGGAGCCCUUAGAAAGCACACUUGCUAAGGUUAACUUCCCCAAGUUGCAGCUUCCUCCUCUGUAACCUAAGAGUAAUCAGUGUGCACCUUAGAGAUUUCUUCUCAAUGUUAGGUCCUUUAUCAUGCCCUGCCUUUUCCAGAAUGAGACUAAUUUGCUCCUAUUUCAGCCAGCUCCAGCAAAGAGAGCGGGUAAAGGAGAGAAAAGAGAAUGAAUUGUCAGCAUUAUUGAAAAGAUUCAUGGUUAGUCACACUUAGCCAUGCUGUCACUGAUUUUACAGUAGCAAGCUAUGGAUGGAGAAGCAGCCUUUGGAAAGUUCAUUGAAUUUGGCAGGGCUCAGUGGCUCACGCCUGUAAUCCCAGCAUUUUGGGAGGCCAAGGUGGGUGAAUCACAAGGUCAGGAGUUCGAGACCAGCCUGGCCAACAUGGUAAAACCCCAUCUCUACUAAAAAUACAAAAAAUUAGCUGGGCGUAGUGGCGGGUGCCUGUAAUCCCAGCUGCUCAGGAGGUUGAGGCAGGAGAAUUGCUUGAACCCAGGAGGCGGAGGUUACAGUGAGCCGAGAUCGCUCCACUGCACUCCAGCUCCGGUGACAGAACGAGACUCCAUCUCAAAAAAAAAAAAAAAAAAAAAAAAAAAAAAAAAGUUCACUGAAUCUUGCAAAAACAUGACUGCCAUAGCAGGAGAGUUUGCCAAAUUAUGCAAUUCAAAGCAAAACCUCCCUGCCCACCCCCACUGUGAUGUUCAGCUUCUGGCUACACCAAAAGCAGUUGCUGGCAAGAAAAUCACUUAUUUAAAAAAAGGCUUUUUGGCAUAUGGCAAAAGGCGAGAAGUUGAAAGAGAACACUAGAGGAGUUUUUCCCUAACCUUUUAUUAACAUGAUUUUAUGGCUUUGUCAAAAUGGCAUUAACCAAAGCUUAAUAAAACUCAUUUAAAAGCUUUUAAUUGGAGAAAAUAACUUCCUAUGAACAUUUUGGGUAAGAACUCUAUCAUACAGAUAUAUGUUCAUAUGCACAUGAAGAUGUUUACUGCAAUAUCUUUAAUCAUUGUGAAAAACAACUGAAAGGUCCAAAACCAGCAGAAUGGUUAAGCAGAAUAUGGCCCAAGCAUCUAAUAGCAUACCGUAGAACUAUUGGAGUUAAUGGAGUAGGCUCAUGUUUAUAAAGAGUGAUGUGAAAAGAUGUAAUUUGAAAAAUAUCAGUUCAUUAGAUAAUAUAUUUAGUGUUUGGUUUCUUAAUAAUGUUUAAAGAUAGCCUGGAAGGAGACACAUUCCCCUGUUUGUACAGCUUGCCCCUGGGGUGGGGCCUGGGUUGCUAAUGGGUGCCAAAAGCUUCUGCUUCUUGCUACCUAAGCUUCUACAAUUCAGAGCUUAAGGACAUAGAUAUGGACUAUUCUUCACCUUGUGCACUCAUUUCUUACUGUUCCUCCUGCCUGCAGGGCCUGCUCCCUCCUCUCUCUCAGGACUUGGCUCAAAUUUCAACUUCUCUGGCCAUUAUCUAAAUUCUAACCCUUCCCUCCCUCCCUAUCUCUCUUCCCCGCUUUGCUUUCUUCCUUAGCAUGUGUCAAUAUCUAAUGUUCUAUAUAUUUUAUUUAUGUGUCAUCUUUAUUAUCUGUCUCCCUCAACAAAAUGGAAACUAUCAGGGCAGGGAUUUUUGUUUGUUUUGUUCACUGCUAUAAUUCUACCCCCUGGAAUAGUGUCUGGCACAUCGUCGAGACUCAAACAUUUGUCAGUCAAUUGACUAAGGCAGGAAUGUUCCCAAAAUAUUUUGGUAACAAACAAAUAUAUAUGUACAUGUAAGUAAAUGUGUAUAAAGGUCUAUGUUUAUGU
rnacentral:lncRNA from 1 species